AACCGUCAAAACCGCUUCUUUCUUUCCCGGCGAAGCAUUCCGCAUAUAACAUCGCACAUUCCCUCCCGGACUCUUCUCACAGCUUGCGCGCGCGCUCUCUCCCUCUCUCUUUCCCUGUCUCUUGUCGGUUAUUGGGCGAUCCAAAAUGGCUACCGCCGCUGUUGCCGGAAUGAAUGGCGGCCUAGAGCCGCAAUCAGCUCUGAUCUUCCUCGGCACCGGCUGUUCAAGCGCCGUUCCUAACGCACUCUGCUUGAUCCGCCCCUCUGAUCCUCCGUGCCAGGUCUGCUCCCAGUCACUCUCCGUUCCACCGGAGCAGAACCCUAAUUACAGGUGCAAUACAUCGCUCCUUAUAGAUUAUUCUCCCAGGAAUGGUGAGCACAAGUAUAUACUGAUUGACGUUGGGAAGACUUUCAGGGAACAAGUGCUCCGCUGGUUCACUCGUUAUAAAAUUCCUUGUGUUGAUUCUAUUGUUUUGACUCAUGAACAUGCUGAUGCAGUUCUUGGUUUGGAUGAUAUACGUGCAGUUCAACCGUUUAGUCCAACAAAUGACAUUGACCCUACACCAGUUUUUCUUAAUCAGUAUGCAAUGGAUAGUCUUGCUGUGAAAUUUCCCUACUUGGUUCAGAAAAAACUCAAGGCUGGCCAGGAAGUUAGGCGUGUAGCACAACUUGAUUGGCAGAUCAUUGAAAAUGAUUGUACAAAGCCAUUUGUUGCAUCAGGACUAGAAUUUGUUCCACUGCCAGUGAUGCAUGGGGAAGACUAUGUAUGCUUGGGCUUUCUUUUUGGUGGAAAGUAUAGAGUUGCAUAUAUAUCUGAUGUUUCACGCUUUCUUCCAAGUACAGAAUCUUAUAUCUCAAAAGAUAGUGGUCAACAGUUGGAUCUACUUAUCUUGGACAGCCUUUAUAAGACGGGUUCCCACAAUGUUCACUUGUGCUUCCCUCAGACCCUUGAUGCUAUUAAAAGACUAUGCCCAAAGAGGGCUUUUUUAAUUGGGAUGACUCACGAAUUUGAUCAUCACAAAGACAAUGCAUUCCUUAUGGAAUGGUCUAAAAGGGAAGGAAUACAAGUUCAGCUGGCAUAUGAUGGGUUGAGGGUCCCCAUUGACUUAUAGAGAGCAAGGUAAUUAGAUAAGUGGUGUAAAGGAAAAAUAGUACUAUAGCACACAAAGAAGUGUCUCCCGUGAUGACUGGUGGAAGGAAAUAAGUAUUGAUUUUACUUGCAGAUCGACAGUGAACCAUGAAGGAUAGCACACCCAUUCUUGUACUAGUAUCUCCACUCUUGAUUUUAGAGUAGAUGUCAAGAUACAAAUUAAAACUGUGAUUUAGAAAGAAAGAACUAGCUAGCAGGAAGAGAGGCCAGUAUGUAUGUCUUCCUGGCUUAACUAGUAUCUUGUGUGUUUCUAUUUGCUCAAUUACUCCCCCCAUGAAGGGGCUGUAAUGCCAUAUUAUUUUCCCUGCAAUCAUCAUGCAUUGAUCAAUGCCUGAUUUGGAUCUGUUGCAGAAUGAUAUAUAAUAUUACCCCCAUAUAUGAAAUAUCAUUUUGGUA